UUAAGAUUUAUUUAGCUGGGUGGUGGU
rnacentral:piRNA from 1 species